CCAUCAACAACUCUGAAGAACACACAUGAAGGAUUUCAAGGCCUAUCUUGACAUUCAGCUGCACAAGACCAACAGAAAGAUCCUUAAGGCAGAAAAAAACCGACUGGAACAAAAAGAGAUUGAACGGCAAAACAAGGCCUACCGGGUACGACACAGAUCAAC